CAACUCUCGCGGCCCGGUACCAAACAAUUCAAGGACCGGUACCGGUCCGAGGCCCGGGGGUUGGGGACCGCUGCUUUAGAGUAUGAACGUGUAGGAAGGAAGCAUGGAAAAAAGCUCUUGUAUGAAUGGGUAAAUGAAGCAAGUCGUAUGCAGUGCUUUGAGUGCUCCGGUAGAGUAAAAAAGUGCUAUAUAUAAAAUCCAGUCCAUUUACCAUCUGUGUGCAGAUUCACGUCUGUUCAAGUCUUUUUAAAGUCUUAUCAAAAAUAAAUGUCGAGAUGUUAAAAAAAACCCUCUAUGUUAUUACAAAUAAACCUCUGUUUUCACAGAACUGGAUAUACAUGCACAGUCCUAAUAUUUAUGGAGACUUAUUUGCUAUUCCAGCUAUCAGUGGACAUAGUGGAGAUUUGUAUUCUAUCUCCACCUUUCAUAGACCUGCCAAUGAGGAAAACAGCAAUUUUAAAAAAAGAAAAAAAAGAAAAAAAGAGCAGUUGAAGUGUAGGGAAAGUUUUAAUAAAAUCACAUCUCUAAUCCUGUAUCUAAUCUCCUUAUCAUUUCACCUGCAUCUGGCUCUAGAAUGCUGUGUGCAUGCCAGGAUGGAAGGAAUGCAUGAGGUACGCACAUUUUUCUAUAAAUGCCAUUUUAAUAUGGAACAUGCCAUCUCCAUUUAUGUGUGUGUGUGUGUGUGUGUGUGUGUGUGUGUGAGAGAGAGAGAGAGUGCGAGAGUGUGUGUUUGUGUGUGUCUCCAGUCCAGUCUCCUGUGUGUGUGCACAUAAAUAUUACUUCAGUAUGUCUAGGGACUGGAGACAUGAGUUCCCGAAGGUUUAUCCCAGUGAUUCCUUAAAUGAGAAAAGGCAACAGUUCCAUUUAAGAUUUAAUUCUGCAAAUAUUGAUGCAACUCAUCCAAAUUUAUGAGUGCUGGAGCAUUUAGUAGUAACCUGCACAAUAACCCUGGGACUGUGUUCAGACUGAACAAUCUGCAAUCAACCCAUUUCUGCCCAAUGGCUGCU
ensembl:lncRNA